rnacentral:rRNA from 1 species
UAACUCCUGUGUAAGUUAAGUGGGAAAGGAUGUGAGAUUUCUAAGACAACUAGGAUGUUGGCUUAGAAGCAGCCAUUCAUUAAAAGAGUGCGUAAUAGCUCACUAGUCGAGAGAUCUUGCGCCGAAAAUGUAACGGGGCUAAACUUACCACCGAAGCUACGGAUUUGCAAGUAAUUGCAAGUGGUAGGGGAGCGUCGUAAUCGGGCUGAAGUCGUACCGGAAGGAGCGGUGGACUGAUUACGAGUGAGAAUGUUGGCAUUAGUAGCGAGAUGUAGGUGAGAAUCCUACAGGCCGAAUAUCUAAGGUUUCCUCAGGAAGGCUCGUCCGCUGAGGGUUAGUCGGGACCUAAGCCGAGGCCGAAAGGCGUAGGCGAUGGACAAUCGGUUGAUAUUCCGAUACCACUACCAUCGUUAUUAUCGAGGGUGUGACGGAGAAGGAUAGUGUGUGCUAGCGAUUGGAAAUGCUAGUCUAAGCGUUUAGGGAGUUACGGUAGGCAAAUCCGCUGUAACAAUUCUGAGGCGUGAUGGGGAAGGUCAUUAAGACCGAAGUACAUGAUUCCAUGCUUCCAAGAAAAGCAUCUAGAGAGAGAAGUAGUGCCCGUACCGCAAACCGACACAGGUAGAUGAGGAGAGAAUCCUAAGGCCGGCGGAAGAAUUGCAGUUAAGGAACUAGGCAAAUUGACCCCGUAAGUUCGCGAGAAGGGGUGCCUGCGAGAGCAGGCCGCAGAGAAUAGGCCCAAGCAACUGUUUAGCAAAAACACAGGUCUCUGCUAAAGCGUAAGCUGAUGUAUAGGGGCUGACGCCUGCCCGGUGCUGGAAGGUUAAGGGGAACACUUAGCGCAAGCGAAGGUGUGAACUUAAGCCCCAGUAAACGGCGGCCGUAACUAUAACGGUCCUAAGGUAGCGAAAUUCCUUGUCAGGUAAGUUCUGACCCGCACGAAUGGCGUAAUGACUUGGGCACUGUCUCAACUGUAAAUCCGGCGAAGUUGUAGUGCGAGUGAAGAUGCUCGCUACCCGCGAUUGGACGGAAAGACCCCGUAGAGCUUUACUGUAGCUUAGCAUUGAAUUCCGGUAUUGUCUGUACAGGAUAGGUGGGAGACUGGGAAACUAGGGCGUCAGCCUUAGUGGAGUCAACCUUGGGAUACCACCCUGACAGUACUGGGGUUCUAACAGGACGCCAUGAAGCUGGUGACUGGACAUUGUUAGGUGGGCAGUUUGACUGGGGCGGUCGCCUCCUAAAAAGUAACGGAGGCGCCCAAAGGUUCCCUCAGAACGGUCGGAAAUCGUUCGAAGAGUGCAAAGGCAGAAGGGAGCCUGACUGCGACACCCACAAGUGGAGCAGGGACGAAAGUCGGGCUUAGUGAUCCGGUGGUACCUCGUGGGAGGGCCAUCGCUCAACGGAUAAAAGCUACCUCGGGGAUAACAGGCUGAUCUCCCCCAAGAGUCCACAUCGACGGGGAGGUUUGGCAC